rnacentral:rRNA from 1 species
UACGAAGGGGCUAGCGUUGCUCGGAAUUACUGGGCGUAAAGCGCACGUAGGCGGAUUGUUAAGUCGGGGGUGAAAUCCUGGAGCUCAACUCCAGAACUGCCUUCGAAACUGGCGAUCUUGAGUCCGGGAGAGGUGAGUGGAACUGCGAGUGUAGAGGUGAAAUUCGUAGAUAUUCGCAAGAACACCAGUGGCGAAGGCGGCUCACUGGCCCGAUACUGACGCUGAGGCACGAAAGCUAGGGUAGCGAACGGG